UACCCAGAAGGAUCCUGAAGGUCACAGAGGUUAUGCAGCCUGCCCAAGGUUACCCAGCUAGCAACUGGCAAAGCUAGGAGUUGCUGCAGAAUAGCAAGUCUAUCACCCACAAUGGCCACAAAUCAGAACAAAUGAUCAUUAUAAACAACCCAUGUAGACAGUUUUCUAUUGUAGGGCAGUGAUUUUUGAGUCCAUAGAUGGGCCAGUAGGAAGUCUAUACUGAAAUCAGCGUUGUGCCUGAUACGGAGAGGAAUAAAGUUAAUAGGAAGGAGCAAUCAGAAAGCUUUGGCUGAAAAGAAUUAUUUAAACCACUGGAGAAAA